rnacentral:lncRNA from 1 species
AGAACUUCUGAUUGCCAGAGGCUUUUCAUUAGUUUUGUUUUGAUUGGCAAAUACUAUUGUGGAAAGAACAUAUAUUAUAUUCUUAAUUCUGUAAAGGUGAAAUAAAAUAACUUUUCUGAGAAAUUUGAUUAUAAUAAUUGGUGAUACUAAGUGAUUUCAGAAGUUAUGAGUUCAUAGGGAAGAAAAACCAUAGUGCACUUUAUAAAAAUAAGGAAAACCCUCCAGGGUUUCCAUCUUGACUUCCUUACUGAGUGUCUCAGUUGAGCUGCUAGUUUGAUGUAGAUAAUCUGUUCAGUGGUGCUGAAAAGAACAGACUCUCUAAGCUAUAUAUACAUGUACAUUAAAAGAUUUUCAAUGAAAUGUUUUUGUAGUGAAAUAUUGAGAAACGUGCACUUCUGUUUGCUAAAUGAACUUCUGUUCACUGUCACACAGAUAGGUAUCCCAAGGAAACAAUCCUGUAGAAACAAGCCAAGAUCGCCCUCUGCUGGCAAACGCUCAUUAUUCUCUCAACUCCUUCCACUAUUUUGGGUGCAAAUUUCUUUGAAAUGUUUUCAAGUCAUUGUCUUAAGGAAUGGGGUGAAAGAGUCUUGAGUCACAACAAAAGAGUUUGGGGAAAACCAAGAGGGUUUCUGUGUGAUACACUCAACAGGAAUCCGCUUUGUUAAUCAGCUUUGGAUGCCCCAAUUCCCUGUAAAGCUACACUUAAUCUGUGCUUCUUUGCAACCAAGCUAUUCACAAAACUUUAAGCCAACAUUUUACAUAUCUUUUAUUAAAAAUUCAAAAUGAAAAGUAACUCAUGCGAAGAAUAUAGGCAUGUUCAGUUUCUAUUCACCUAGCAAUUGAUAGAAACUGUACUUAUUCAUAAAUAUUCCCUGUGUAAAAAUGGCAGAAAAGUUUACCAGUUUGAAUGAUAGU